CAGCUACGUAGUGGCCAUGCUGGUUUGCAUCAGCAAUGUAUCCGAUGUCCCGUCGUGUGCUGGAGAACAUCAAAGGCAUUCCUGGAGGACCUCUCCCCUCUUCUCAGUGCCAGGCCUGAGCCAGUCAAAGCUCUGAUCCUUCUUUAUUGCUCACUGUACUGGCCAGACUCUCCAGUACAAUGCUGAAUAGAAGCAUGAGCACAGACAUCCCUAUCUCCUUCCCGGUCUUCGUGGGAACGCAUUCAUCUUUGACCCUUAAAUAUGUUAGCUGCAGGUGUUUUGUAGAUGUUCUUUAUCAAUUGAGGAAGUUCUCUUCUGUUCCUAGUUUGCUGAAAGUCUUUUUUUUCUCUUUUUUACUUUUUCCUUUUUCAUACUCCUCAGUCAUCAUGAAAGUCUUAAAUAAGGAAUGGAGGUUGGAUUUCUUCAAAUGCUUAUUCUGCAUCUGACAGAGUCUUACUUUGUCACCCAGGCUGCAGUGCAGUGGCACGAUCUUGACUCAACUGAAACCUCUGCCUCCUGGGCUCAAGUGAUUCUCAUGCCUCAGCCUCCUCAUUAGCUGGAACUACAGGAGCUUGCCACCACACCCAGAUCAAUUUUGUAUUUUUAGUAGAGAAGUGGUUUCAUCAUGUUGGCCAGCCUGGUCUUGAACCCUUCAAGUGAUCUGCCUGCCUCAGCCUCCCAGAGUGCUGGGAUUACAGGCAUAAGCCACCAUGCCUGGCCUCAUUGUGGGUUUUUUAAUACGCAUUUUCCUCAUUACUAGUUGAGUUAAGCAUCUAAUUAUGUUCUUAGUAGCCAUUUGUAUUAUUUUGUGAAUUGUCUGAGUGCUUUUUUUUAAAAUGCCAAGAUCAUCAAAAGGACCUUAAAUAAAUAUUCACAGCCAAGAGAAACAUGGAUAAUAAUAGAUGGGAUGCCGGCAGAUUAUAAGAACAAGGAAGACUCAUCAUCACCUAUUUGCUUUAGUCCUCUGUUUCAAGAAGUACCUUCAGGGUGAGAUAAAGAAAAGCAAUCCCUCAAACAGAAAAAAAUAGCAGCCUCACAAGACAAACUGGAGAUUAAGGAAGGGAUCUAGUGGUCCAUCAAUAUCUAUUUCUCCCUCUUUCUUUAGAACCUACAAAUUUUAUGUAGACAUAGGGUGACCAUCCAUCAGCCCAUUUACCCAGGCUUAAGGGGAUUCCCAGGAUGCAGGACUCUGGUGCUAAAACCUGAAAAGAGCUGGGCAAACCAAGAUGAGUUAAAUGGAGAUGAUUAUUUCCCAGCCUCACAUUCAGUUAUAUGUUCUGGCCAAUGAAAUAAGAGCAGAAAAUGAUGCCUGAAAUUCCUGAGUUAUUCACAUUGGAGGAAAGAGCAUGCCCUCCCCUUCCUUCCUUUCUGCCUUCUAGUGGCUCAAAUAAAGAGAUGAGAGGCGGGUGAUGAAAAAUGAGAACACAUGGACACAGAGAGGGGACUACUAAACACUGGGGUCUAUUGGGGGGAAAAGGGGAGGGCCAGUGGGAGGGGGAGGUAGGGAGGGAUAGCCUGGGGAGAAAUGCCAAAUGUGGGUGAAGGGAAGAAAGCAAACAAAACACACUGCCAUGUGUGUACCUAUGCAACUGUAUUGCAUGCUCAUCAAAAGGACCUUAAAUAAAUAUUCACAGCCAAGAGAAACAUGGAUAAUAAUAGAUGGGAUGCCGGCAGAUUCUAAGUACCCCAAAACCUAAAAUGUAAUAAAAAAAAAAUCUUCAUUGGAAAAAAAAAAAAAGAGAUGAGAGGAAGAGGAGGCACAGCCAUGUUAAACUGUGAGAUGGAAGCUGCCUCUUAAGAGUGCCAGAGGAACAGGAGAGGAUGCUGGAUCCUUGAUUAUUAUGGAGCUGCCAUAACAACCAGUGGUACCUACCCGGUAGUUUAUGUGUCAGAGAAAUACACUUCUGUUUUGCGUAAGCUCCUGUAUUUUAGGUGUCCUUUUACAGCUGCCUAACUAAUGCAAUGUAUUAGCAUGCAAUCAGGUAGACUAAAUGAUUUUAAUGGAAUUAAAUGGAAAGUUGUUUUCCUGGUUGAAGUGAGGAAGGAGGAAGAAAACUAUCAUUUGUUAGGCAUUACAUUGAGCAUUCUGCUGCUAGUUUCUUUACACAGGAUAUUUCAAUUGUUUUUCACAAAAACCUUACUAGGAGAAUUUGUUGAAAGGUACUGAGAAACUAGUCGAAGAGUGUGUUUUUGAUCUUUAAAAGAGGGCCAAAGGCAUAGUCCAUAAGUCCCCAACUGAUGAGUUUGAUGGCUGGGUCUUUUUGUAGAAUGGAUUAAUAAAGGGAGGUUGGUGAGUAAUUUAAAAAGCAGUGGGAAUCGCCAGGUUCUAAAAUGGAU
rnacentral:lncRNA from 1 species